GCCCUCCCCUUCCCUGCGCCACCCCACCCCUCCUGGUCAGUGUCCGGAGUCACUCACCUCCUCGUUCGGCAGCUCUUUCCUUCAGUCGGCAAACAGCUAUGAGCAUAUCUUGAUGCCUCACCUUGUGGCCAUAGUGGGGUAUGGCAGGGCCCCAGACACGCAUUCUCCCUGUCCUUAGGUAACUUGUAGUGUCCUAGAGGCUGGGGGGUGGGGGAGGGGCGAGCGGUAAAUUCAUAGGCUCAUUGACUUUCUCAAUUACUGUUACUCAUUCGCUCAUUGACUGAUUUGCUCAUGCAUUUUUUUAUUGCUUCACCCCCACUAUCAACUGCUUACUCAUCCAUUCAGUCAUUAGAUCAUCUGCUUUUUCAGGAGACAUUUAUUGCUACCUAAUCCAUACCAUGCCUGGUGCUAAUGUAUUGGACAAAGAAGUUUGGCUUUGAGCUAUAGGCCGAGGAGAGCUAUGGAACGUUUUGACUAGUAGAGGGACCGGUUCCAGGGUGUACCUAAGAAACGUCAGUCUGGUAACGUGGUGAACCAGGGAAGAAAAGACACAGGGAGGAAAUGACUGAGAGGAAACUCUUGAGUUCACUGCCUGGUGGGGCGACCGCUAUGUACACAGAUAGUUAGGAUGAGUGGCGUGUAAGAGGCCCGGCGGCGAGAUGGUACUGCGCCCAGAGCAGAGGCACCAGUCGCCCUGCUUGGGAUCCCCGAGGUGCUAGGCUGUCCUUCCCACAGCCUGGCUCAUUCUUCACGGUGCCGAGCGUCUCUGCAGCCCUUCGCCACAGCGCUUUCCACCCACGUUGUGCUGAUUUUCCUGCCUGUAUUGCCCCAUUCCACUGGGAGCUUCUCGAGGCUGGGGCCACUUCUGUAUCACAUCCGAGUCUUCGGCCCAGCACACUGCCUGGCAGAGAAGAGGCCAGCCACUGGGACAGGUUUGACCCAGGUAGGGCCUCCAGGUAGGCCCACCUGGAAGCAGAGAUGCCAGGGGAGGCCACAGAGGCCAAGCCUGCUCUGUGCCAGUCAGGGUCCUUCUCAGCCUCUGCCCAGGUGGUCCAGGAAAGGGGAUGGGCACUGCCAAAUGGGCCAAAAGGGGGCUCAGCUUAGCUUUGGGCUUUGAAGGGAGGGAGGAAUAGAAAGAUAGAAUAUAGAUGUAUAUGAGGAUAAACCUGUCCGUAGCUCACCAUGGUCUGCACAUAAGGUCCAGGCUUUCACAUGGCUUCCCCCCCGAUGACCUGGGUCCUGCCAGCCUUUUCUGCCUUAUUUGUCACCAUGCCCAAGUUAUACUCUGCUCUAGCCAAGCCAGACCUCUCCGGAUCCUUAAAUUCUGUAUGCAUUUUUGUAUCGAGGCUUUUGCAUAUGAUGCAUGUUUUGCCUGCUGUGCCUUUCAAACUUUCUUUUUCUGAUUAAUCCCUAUUCAUUCUUUAGCACUUGACUUCCUCCAGGAAUAGUUCGCUGACCAUCCAAGUGCCCCUCCUGAUGCCCCUACAGUCCCAUACUGCCAGGAUCAUCAUACUAACGCUUUUGACUCUGUUUGCUCAGUGACUUGCCUGACAUUCCAGGGCAAAAGCUCCAGGGUAUUAGGCUUCUUACCUGUCAAGCACUCAGUCAUGUCCUCACCCCUGGCAGAGCGCUUGGCUUAUAAACUAGGUCCACAGCAAAUUUGUUACAUUUUUUGUGUAUCGUCUUUUUUUUUUAGGUAAAAUUUAUGUACAAUGAAAUGUAUAAAUCUUAAAGUGUAUAAUUCUUUGAAUUUUGAUUAAGGUAUAUAUACCCAUGUACCCACCCCCGUCAAGACACAGAAUACCUUCCAGCCUCUCAGACAAUCCCCUCGUGGCCCCCCAGUGGCCUCCCCAACCACCUUCCCGCUUGCUUUCACCAUAGUUCUUUGUUCUGCUGCUUUGUAUAAAUGAAAUCUUGAGUCCAGCUUCUUUAAUUCAGCAUAUUAUCUGCGAGGUUCACUCAUGCUAUUGCAUAGAGCAGCAUAACUGUUUUUAAAUGAAUGAAUCAACAAGGCAGGAGCAUGGGAUUGAGCUUCUUGCAGACAGUGGUUCUCAGUGCUCUAUCCCAGAACCCUCAGAGCUCCUGGAAAGGUCUCGCAGAACAUUGAAAAAAAGCUCACUGGCUCCACCACUUCGCUCACACGCUCACUGGGGCCCCUGCGCGCCAGGCCUUGUGGCGUGUUUCGAGAACACAGAGAUGAAUUGGACACCGUCCCUGUCCCUAAGGGCUCCCAGCCUAGCUAUGGAUACAGGGAAAUAAGUAAUGUGAUUCAGGGGGAGUUAAAGGCUACUAAACUCUGUGAGGAGUUAGAGGAAGGCUUUCUGAAGGAUUCUGAGUUAUAAAAGACAACAAAGAGCUUGCCAAAAGGGAUAAGGCAUCAGGAAGGGCAGCCCAAUUGGAGAGAGCAAGGUGUGCAGAGACAUGAGUCAGUAAGGUGUACCGGAGGCCCUAGAAGCAGUGCUGAAUACCUUGGACGGGACCUAUAUGCCAGGAGCGACGGAAGGCCAUGCAACAUUGGGGACUUGACCCCAAAGACCUUCAGGGGGUUCGGCAGAAAAUAGACUCAGUUUCAGUUUGGUAUUUUACUAAGACCUUUUAGGCAGCUGUGUGAUGGAGCAAUUGGAGGCUACAGGUGAGACCAGACGAAGAUGCCCCUAGAGAGGGAAAAGGAUUUUCCUGACAGUCCCUGAGACAUUACUGUCAGCCCUGGACCCUGUGACUCCCAGUACAGUGAAUCUCUCCUGAUUCUUACCCCAUUUCACAAAGGAGGCAGCUGACGCCCCGAAGAGGAAAGUCACUGUGUCUAAUAGAAAUGGGAGUCGAGCCCUGGUGGUCUCUCCUCAUGCCCAGUCUUCUGGCACCCGCUUUUGGGGGUGAGCUGGGAGUGAAGGGCAUUGUUGGGCUCUGC